GAAGGUGGCCUGUGAGGGUUGCUGGAGGUAUCAGAAGUGCGAAUGCUGACAUAAGUAACGAUAAAGCGGGUGAAAAGCCCGCUCGCCGGAAGACCAAGGGUUCCUGUCCAACGUUAAUCGGGGCAGGGUGAGUCGACCCCUAAGGCGAGGCCGAAAGGCGUAGUCGAUGGGAAACGGGUUAAUAUUCCCGUACUUGGUGUUACUGCGAAGGGGGGACGGAGAAGGCUAUGUUGGCCGGGCGACGGUUGUCCCGGUUUAAGCGUGUAGGUGUGUGUUCCAGGUAAAUCCGGUUCACUUUAACACUGAGGCGUGAUGACGAGGCACUACGGUGCUGAAGCAACAAAUGCCCUGCUUCCAGGAAAAGCCUCUAAGCAUCAGGUAACAUCAAAUCGUACCCCAAACCGACACAGGUGGUCAGGUAGAGAAUACCAAGGCGCUUGAGAGAACUCGGGUGAAGGAACUAGGCAAAAUGGUGCCGUAACUUCGGGAGAAGGCACGCUGACAC
rnacentral:rRNA from 1 species